rnacentral:rRNA from 1 species
GGUCCCUAUCCGUCGCAGGCGUAGGAAAUUUGAGAAGACCUGUCCUUAGUACGAGAGGACCGGGAUGGACGUACCUCUGGUGUACCAGUUGUCCUGCCAAGGGCAUGGCUGGGUAGCUAUGUGCGGAAUGGAUAAGCGCUGAAAGCAUCUAAGCGCGAAGCCAACUUCAAGAUAAGAUUUCCCACCGCAAGGGUAAGACCCCAGAAAGACUAUCUGGUUGAUAGGUCGAAGGUGUAAGUGCAGCAAUGUAUUUAGCUUAUCGAUACUAAUAGGUCGAGGACUUGACCAAU